CUACGGGUCGCUGCAGUGGGGAAUAUUGCACAAUGGGCGCAAGCCUGAUGCAGCCAUGCCGCGUGUAUGAAGAAGGCCUUCGGGUUGUAAAGUACUUUCAGCGGGGAGGAAGGGAGUAAAGUUAAUACCUUUGCUCAUUGACGUUACCCGCAGAAGAAGCACCGGCUAACUCCGUGCCAGCAGCCGCGGUAAUACGGAGGGUGCAAGCGUUAAUCGGAAUUACUGGGCGUAAAGCGCACGCAGGCGGUGUGUUAAGUCAGAUGUGAAAUCCCCGGGCUCAACCUGGGAACUGCAUCUGAGACUGGCAAGCUUGAGUCUCGUAGAGGGGGGUAGAAUUCCAGGUGUAGCGGUGAAAUGCGUAGAGAUCUGGAGGAAUACCGGUGGCGAAGGCGGCCCCCUGGACGAAGACUGACGCUCAGGUGCGAAAGCGUGGGGAGCAAACAGGAUUAGAUACCCCAGUAGUC
rnacentral:rRNA from 1 species